UAUAAUUCUUACUCCUUGACUCUUCCAAAAUAUCCUCGAAAUCCCCUGUUCCUUUAAUGUGGAAACCACUAAAUCUUGCGUGAUCCUUACUGUAUCUAUCUCCAUGAUAUCUGAUUUGUUUUUGGCUGCUUUAAAUAUUUUUUCCUGGAUUGGGAGCUUUGGAAUUUGAGCAUAAUAUUCCUAGGAGUUUUAAUUUUGGGGUUUCUUUCAGUAGAUUUUCAGUGGAUUCUUUUAAUUUCUAUUUUACCCUCUGGUUCUAAAAUAGCAACUUCUUAAAAUAUGUUUAGGCUACUUUUUAAAAUCAUGGCUUUCAGAUAGUCCAAUAAUUCUUAAAUGAUUUAUACUCACUGUAUUUUCCAGGUCUUUUGUUUUUGUUUUUGUUUUGUUUUUUAAUGAGAUAUAUUACAUUUUCUUCUUUGUCAUCCUUUUGAAAUUGUUCUGUUUCUACUUGGGCAAUUAUAACUUUAAGGUUUUUUUCUUUUCUAUCUUGUACCUCUUUUAUCCCUUGUUCAAUUAUGCCUUUAAAUUUUUUUUUUCUCACUGAAUUGUUGCCCCUCUUUUAUCAUGAAGCUAAUAGUUUUUUAAGGUGACAUUCCCUUCAGUAUUUUUUGUGCCUCUCUUACCAGUUAAUUCCAUUUUAAUAAUUUUCUUGUUUCCCUCUCAUUUAUUUUCCCAAUUUUUCACUACUAUUCUUAUUUGAUUUUUAAGAUCACUUUUCUUUUUGUUCUUUCUUUGCGCUUUAGGAAUUUCUGUUGGGCUUGUGUACAGUUUGCAUGGGUUGGGUUUUGGGGUUUUUUUAGGUUUUGCUUAUAACCUUUUAAAAACUGUUUUCUUCUGAGUUUGUGUCUUUAUCAUCCUCAUCGCCAUAGGAUUUUUUUUUAUUUCCUUUUUUAUUGCUUUCUCCUUUUACAGUCUAUUUGAACUUUAUGGGGAAGUUCUGGGGAAGGAGAAGUAGGAGUAAAGAUUGUCAUAAGCUUCAGGCUUUUUCACAACUAGUUCUGGAGCUGUAUGGUGAGCUUUUUUUGGUUGUUUCCAAGAUGCUGUGAUCUGCAGAGAGGUGUAGCCACCCCUCUCCCAUGACCAAAAAGUUUGAGAAUUGUUACUCUAUAUUAUUUCAUUUAAUGAUCUUAUCAGCUUCUAUAGAUUUAAUUAUGAUGAAUAAGCAAAUGAUUCUUAGAUCUAUGUUUCUAACCGUAAUCUUCUGACCUUCAGUCUCAAAUCUGUCUAUCAAAUCUAUCAAAUCAAAUCUUAAAACUAUACACACUAUAGUCAUAUAACCUGGCUCAUAACCUCAGUUACCCUUUAUUCCUCAUUCUCUCACUCCUUUCCAUCAUAUCUAAUCUAUUGACAAGUCCUAUCAGUUCUACCUUUGAAACAUUUCUUGUAUAUGGUCUCUCUCCCCUAAUAUUGCUUUUUCUUGGUAUAGGCUUUCAUUAAUUCACAUGAAAUAUUGCAAUAGCCUUCUGAAAUGCCUUCCUACUCUUCAAGUCUAUCCUCUACUCAGCUAUCAAAGUGAUCUUCCUAAAACACAAGUGUAACCAUGCUAAACCAAAUUUGAUAAAUUCUAGUGACUCCCUAUUACCUCCAAGAUUAAAUAUAAAAUUCUGGCUUUAACAGCCUUUCAUGGGGGCGGAGCCAAGAUGGCAGAGAGGACACACACUUUUUUCUAAUCUUUUCCCAUGACCCUCAGCUAAUUACCAAAUUCAGCCUCUGAAUUAAUUCUGGACUGGCAGAAUCCACAAAUAUUGGGAGUGCAGCAAAUUAAUAGCAGAAGAUAAUUUCGAAGAUUCCUAGAAAAGGUUUGUUUUGAUUGGGCACAGAAGAUGACAAGCAGCUGGAGCACAGACACCAGCACAUGCUUUGCAGCCCCAGGGCUGGGUGUCAGAGAAUAUAGGGAGAAGAUUCUAAAGCAGUGUAGGAUACUAUGUCCUGGUUUCAAGCCAGUAGAUCAGCAGAGAAGUUAUAAAAUAUCCAACACAAACACAGAAGGUAGAGUGACCCCCCAAAAUACCCGAGUCUCAUAGGACCAGGCCGCACCCACCCAGCCCUGGAAAUGAGUCAACACAGGCUCACCACAGCUGCUGCCACUUUGCAUGUGCCUAUAGAGGAAGCUUGGAAAAGCACCCUUGCCCUAAAAGCAGAUUCCAACUAUUUUUUUUUUAAUGAGUAAAAGGGCAAAGAGAACUCUGACCAUAAAUGGUUUUUGUGUUGAAAGGGAAGAACAGAUUUCAAACCCUGAGAAGACUAAAAGCAGAUUGUCACCAGAUGAAGCCCCAAAGGGUGGUAUAAAUUGGUCCCCACAAAAGGCUCUCUUAGAAAAAAUUAUAAAGGAUCUUAAAAGAGAGCUAGAAGAAAAAUGAGGAAAGUAAAAGAAAACUUUUCAAGAGGGUUUGGAAAAGAUAUAUAACUCGUUAAAAGAUAAGAUUUGACAAAAAGAAAAUAAUUCCCUGAAAAACAGAAUUUGUGAAAUUGAAAAAGUAAAUAACUCCCAGGAAAAGAGAAUUUAUGAAAUGGAAAAAAAAUUCCAUAGAACAAAACAACUCAUUUAAAAACUCAAUUGUACAAAUACAAAAAGAAGUAAAAAAUAAAGAAAAUUCACUAAAAAUCAGAACUGAACAAAUGGAAAUGAGAUAUUAAGAAUCAAUCAAGCAAAACAAAAAAAAAAAAAUAGAAAAAUAGAAAAAAAGUAAAAUACCUACUUGGGAAAACAACUGACCUGGAAAAUACAUCUGGGAGACAUAAUUUAAGGAUUAUUGGACUCCCUGAAAAUCAUGACUAAAAAAAGAGCCUAGACACUAUUUUUCAGGAAAUCAUCAAAGAGAACUUCCCUGAUGUCAUAGAAUCAGAAGAUAAAAUAGUCAUUGAAAGAUUUACAUUUCCUGAAAGAGACCCCAAAAUUAAAACUCCAAGGAAUAUAGUGACUAAUUUCAGAACAAUCAGACCAAGGAAAACAUAUCACAAGCAGCCGGGGGGGGGGGGGGGGAAACAAUUCAAAUACUGAGGAGCCACAAUAAUGAUCACCCAGGAUCUAGCAGCUUUUACCUUAAAGGAUUAAAGGGCCUGGAAUCUGAUAUUCUGAAAGGCAAAAUAAAGAAAAUUCACUAAAAAUCAGAACGGAACAAAUGGAAAUGAAUAACUCAAUGAGAUAUUAAGAAUCAAUCAAGCAAAACCAAAAAAAAAAAAAAAUAGAAAAAUAGAAAAAAAAAGUAAAAUACCUACUUGGGAAAACAACUGACCUGGAAAAUACAUCUGGGAGAGAUAAUUUAAGGAUUAUUGGACUCCCUGAAAAUCAUGACUAAAAAAAGAGCCUAGACACUAUUUUUCAGGAAAUCAUCAAAGAGAAAUUCCCUGAUGUCAUAGAAUCAGAAGAUAAAAUAGUCAUUGAAAGAUUUACAUUUCCUGAAAGAGACCCCAAAAUUAAAACUCCAAGGAAUAUAGUGACUAAUUUCAGAACAAUCAGACCAAGGAAAAAAUAUCACAAGCAGCCAGGGGGGAAAAAAAAAACCAAUUUAAAUACUGAGGAGCCACAAAAGGAUCACCCAGGAUCUAGCAGCUUCCACCUUAAAGGAUUAAAGGGCCUGGAAUCUGAUAUUCUGAAAGGCAAAGGAACUUGGAUGCAGCCAAGAAAAAAACUACCUUGCUAUAAACUGAGCAUUUCCUUCCAGGGAAGAAGGUAGACAUUCAGUGAAACAGGUGAAUUUCAUUUAUUUCUGAUGAAAAGACCAAAGUUAAACAAAAAAUUUGGCCUCCAAAAACAGGAUUCAAGAGAAGCAUAAAAAGGUAAAAAGAACUCUUGAGAAUUGUAUUUCUGUUUUGGGUAUACAUAAAGAGUGCAUGUAUAAUUUGAUUUUACUAUAAUAAUAUAAAAAAGGAACUAGAAGCAGAAAGGGGAUUGUACCAGAAAAAGAGAAAAGUGGAGGUAAAAUGAGGGAAAUUACAGCUCACAAAGCAGCAAAGGAAACCUAUUAUAUUUGAGGGGAAAAGGGGAGGGGAAUAAAUAUUGUGUGAAUCUUACUCUCAUCAAAUUUGGCUCAAAGAGAAAAUAUUAGACAUAUUUGAUUUACAGAGAAACUUCUCUCACCUUAUUGAAAAAGUGGGAGAGGAAAGAUAAAAAGGGAAGGAGUAGGCUAAAUAAAAGGGAAAAUAGAAAUAGGAGGGGAAAGGUAUAAGACAGGGGGAGAGACUCUAAAGAGGAAGGGCUGCUUGAGGCAAGUAGUGCUGAUAAGUUAAAUACUGGGGAGGAGGGAAAGAGCAAAAGGAAAGAGAAAAAUAUAAUCCGAGGAUAAUAAAAUGGCAGGAAAUACAGAAUUAGUAGUUCUAACCAUAAAUGUGAAUGGGGUGAACUCUCCCAUAAAGAAUAAGUGAAUAGCAGACUGGAUUAAAAGCCAAAAUCCUACAAUAUGUUGUUUACAAGAAACACAUUUAAAGCAGAGUGAUACAUACAGAGUAAAAGUAAAAAGAUGGAACAGAAUCUAUUAUGCUUCAGAUAAGUAAAAAAAAGCAGGGGUAGUCAUCUUGAUCUCAGAGUAAGCAAAAGUAAAAAUUGACCUAAUUAAAAGGGAUAAGGAAGGAAACUAUAUCUUGCUAAAGGGUACCAUAGAUAAUGAAGCAAUAUCAAUACUAAACAUAUAUGCACCAAGUGGUAUAGCAUGGAAAUUCCUAAAUUAGAAGUUAAGAGAGUGGCAAGAAGAAAUAGACAGCAAAACUAUAAUAGUGGGAGAUCUCAACCUUGCUCUCUCAGAACUAGAUAAAUCAAACUACAAAAUAAAUAAGAAAGAAGUUAAAGAAGUAAAUAAAAUACUAGAAAAGUAAGAUAUGAUAGAUAUUUGGAGAAAAUUGAAUGGAGACAGAAAGGAGUAUACUUUCUUCUCGGCAGUUCAUGGAACCUAUACAAAAAAAUGACCAUAUAUUAGGACAAUAAAGACCUCAAAAUCAAAUGCAGAAAGUAAGAAAUAGUAAAUGCAUUUUUUCAGAUUAUGAUGCAAUAAAAAUUACAUUCAAUAAAAAACCAGGGAAAAAUAGAUCAAAAAGUAAUUGGAAACUAAAUAAUCUCAUCCUAAAGAAUGAAUGGGUGAAACAGCAAAUCAUAGACACAAUUAAUAAUUUCAUUAAAGAGAAUGACAAUAAUGAGACAACAUACCAAAAUUUGUGAGAUGUAGCCAAAGCAGUAAUAAGGAGAAAUUGUAUAUCUCUAGAUGCUUAAUUACAUAAAAUAGAGAAAGAGAAGAUAAAUGAAUUGGGCUUGCAACUAAAAAAAAAGCUAGAAAAAGAGCAAAUUAAUAUAGAUUUUCAUAACUUCUCCUUUCUACAUUUCCAG
ensembl:lncRNA